rnacentral:rRNA from 1 species
AGUGAACGCUGGCGGUAGGCCUAACGCAUGCAAGUCGAACGGCAGCACAGUAAGAGCUUGCUCUUACGGGUGGCGAGUGGCGGACGGGUGAGGAAUACAUCGGAAUCUACUUUUUCGUGGGGGAUAACGUAGGGAAACUUACGCUAAUACCGCAUACGACCUACGGGUGAAAGCAGGGGAUCUUCGGACCUUGCGCGAUUGAAUGAGCCGAUGUCGGAUUAGCUAGUUGGCGGGGUAAAGGCCCACCAAGGCGACGAUCCGUAGCUGGUCUGAGAGGAUGAUCAGCCAUACUGGAACUGAGACACGGUCCAGACUCCUACGGGAGGCAGCAGUGGGGAAUAUUGGACAAUGGGCGCAAGCCUGAUCCAGCCAUACCGCGUGGGUGAAGAAGGCCUUCGGGUUGUAAAGCCCUUUUGUUGGGAAAGAAAAGCAGCAGGUUAAUACCCCGCUGUUCUGACGGUACCCAAAGAAUAAGCACCGGCUAACUUCGUG